rnacentral:rRNA from 1 species
UACAGAGGUCUCAAGCGUUGUUCGGAUUCAUUGGGCGUAAAGGGUGCGUAGGCGGCGCGGUAAGUCGGGUGUGAAAUCUCGGAGCUUAACUCCGAAACUGCAUUCGAUACUGCCGUGCUUGAGGACUGGAGAGGAGACUGGAAUUUACGGUGUAGCGGCGAAAUGCGUAGAUAUCGUAAGGAAGACCAGUGGCGAAGGCGGGUCUCUGGACAGUUCCUGACGCUGAGGCACGAAGGUCAGGGGAGCAAACGGG